CCAACUUCUUGGCUGAAAUUUACUGAAAGCCUUUGCCCGGCAUGAUCUUGCUCUCUUGUGCUCAUGACAAAGAAAUGUAACCUUUGGCCAAUUGCAUUUUUGUUCCACUGGUAACUAGGUUAAUGUGAACAGACAGAUCUGGUGAGACAGCAUGGGAAGAAAUAACACAUGGGCUUUUGUGCAGCUGGAUAUAAUGAAGAGUCUUGCUCUGUCUCCAGGCUGGAUUGCAAUGGCGUGAUCUCGACUCACUGCAACCUCCGCCUCCUGGGUUCAAGUGAUUCUCCUGCCUCAGCCUCCUGAGGAGCUAGAACUACAGGCACACACCACCACGCCCAGCUAUUUUUUGUAUUUUUAGUAGAGAUGGGGUUUCACCAUGUUGGCCAAGAUGGUCUCUGUCUCUUGACCUCGUAAUCCGCCCACCUUAGCCUCCCAAGGUGCUGGGAUUACAGGCAUCAGCCACUGCGCCCGGCUGAAUUCUGUUAAAUUUUACAUACAGCAUGUAGGGCAGAAGACAUACUUUAAACUCAUAGGUUUUCUUACUUUCACUCAGAAGGGAAGGGAAAACAGUACAAUUCGGCGAAAUAGGAAAUCUAAAUCUUUCAAUGCAUGGGUCAUGUGGAAACCGAGAGAGAGAAGAAAAUCGAAAAAUAGAUGAUGGAUGUUGUUAAGGAAUUAGUAAACCGUUAAGUGCUCUAUCAUUAUUAGAUAUUCGGGUGAUCAUCCCGCAUGUAGCUAUUUGACCAAUGCUGCUUGUAAAUUGGCUUAGGAAAAUUAACAUACAUUUUAUUAAACUGACGAGUAUGCCUUUUACUGAAAGCAAGGAAUAGACAUAGCCAUUUUGUUUAAGAAAUAUAAGCACAUGAGAGGCUUAAAAAGGUAGGGGUUGUAUGUUCUCAGCACUGCAGCUAAAUUCUUAAAUGGAAACUGUUCUUUUAGCAGUUUCAGAGUAGGCUAUCUCAAGCUGAUUGCUACAGACUCAAAUUUUAAGUCGCAUUUCUUUCAGAAACAGAAGGAAAGUCAAUCUCACUUUCGAAAAGAGAAAGUAAGGUGACCCUUGUCAUAGUAACAUAAUGCAGCAGGUCCCAGGUGUAACCCGGAGGAAAAGGCAGACAAGGUCCUGCGAUGCCGCAGCUGAAAGGAAGCUGACGCCAACGGGCUUCUCAGAAGAACAAUGACUCAUUAGUCCCGGGCUCACGGCAGAUGCGGUCUCCCAACAACUGGCCUCCCUCCAAAAACAUGGAGGAAAUCAAGAGGGCAGAGCCGGGAAGGAGGCUGCAUCCCUCGCCUGAUGGGGAGCACUCCUAGCAGGCACAGGGUAAUCAGAAAAGUGCUUUGGAAUCACAAAAUGAAAAAACAAGUGUCAGCUGUGGGAGAUGUAGAAAUGCAAAUAAGUACGAAUGCAAAUAGGCCGGAUAAAUGGCAGUGUGCAAUCACCCAAAGCUCUGUUUACAACCCGAAGGCAGCUCCGUCUGUAAUUAUCUGGGCGCCAUUAACUGCGUGGGAGCAGCUCUCAACGGGUACAAGAGAGAUACCACCAGAAGUGAAAUGUCCUCUCUCCCGUGAUGAAGCCAGAUCUCCGAGCGAUUCCAUCUACACUGAACUAAACCGGUUUGUGCCAAAGAGCUAGAAGUGUACCUUUGGUGAAACAAGGAAGCUAGAUUUUUUUUUAUUGCUUACUGCGCAUCUGAACGUAAUUCUUGCCAUUAAUUAAGAAAACAGAUGAUAAGAGAUUUGGCUUCAAUAAACAUGUACUGAAA
rnacentral:lncRNA from 1 species